GACGAACGCUGGCGGCGUGCCUAAUACAUGCAAGUAGAACGCACAGUUUAUACCGUAGCUUGCUACACCAUAGACUGUGAGUUGCGAACGGGUGAGUAACGCGUAGGUAACCUGCCUGGUAGCGGGGGAUAACUAUUGGAAACGAUAGCUAAUACCGCAUAAUAUUGAUUAUUGCAUGAUAAUUGAUUGAAAGAUGCUAUUGCAUCACUACCAGAUGGACCUGCGUUGUAUUAGCUAGUAGGUGAGGUAACGGCUCACCUAGGCGACGAUACAUAGCCGACCUGAGAGGGUGAUCGGCCACACUGGGACUGAGACACGGCCCAGACUCCUACGGGAGGCAGCAGUAGGGAAGCUUCGGCAAUGGACGAAAGUCUGACCGAGCAACGCCGCGUGAGUGAAGAAGGUUUUCGGAUCGUAAAGCUCUGUUGUAAGAGAAGAACGGGUGUGAGAGUGGAAAGUUCACACUGUGACGGUAGCUUACCAGAAAGGGACGGCUAACUACGUG
rnacentral:rRNA from 1 species